UACAGGGGGGCAAGCGUUGUUCGGAAUUACUGGGCGUAAAGGGCUCGUAGGCGGCCGGCUAAGUCCGACGUGAAAUCCCCAGGCUUAACCUGGGAACUGCAUCUGUGACUGCAGGACUAGAGUACGGUAGAGGGGAAUGGAAUUCCGCAUGUAGCAGUGAAAUGCGUAGAUAUGCGGAGGAACACCGAUGGCGAAGGCAAUUCCCUGGACCUGUACUGACGCUCAUGCACGAAAGCGUGGGGAGCAAACAGG
rnacentral:rRNA from 1 species